rnacentral:rRNA from 1 species
UACGUAGGGCGCAAGCGUUGUCCGGAAUUAUUGGGCGUAAAGAGCUCGUAGGCGGUCUGUCGCGUCGGAUGUGAAAGCCCGGGGCUUAACCCCGGGUCUGCAUUCGAUACGGGCAGACUAGAGAGUGGUAGGGGAGAUCGGAAUUCCUGGUGUAGCGGUGAAAUGCGCAGAUAUCAGGAGGAACACCGGUGGCGAAGGCGGAUCUCUGGGCCAUUACUGACGCUGAGGAGCGAAAGCGUGGGAGCGAACAGG